UGGGGAAUAUUCCACAAUGGGCGCAAGCCUGAUGCAGCCAUGCCGCGUGUAUGAAGAAGGCCUUCGGGUUGUAAAGUACUUUCAGCGGGGAGGAAGGGAGUAAAGUUAAUACCUUUGCACAUUGACGUUACCCGCGGAAGAAGCACCGGCUAACUCCGUGCCAGCAGCCGCGGUAAUACGGAGGGUGCAAGCGUUAAUCGGAAUUACUGGGCGUAAAGCGCACGCAGGCGGUUGAUUGAGUCAGAUGUGAAAUCCCCGGGCUUAACCCGGGAAUUGCAUCUGAUACUGGUCAGCUAGAGUCUUGUAGAGGGGGGUAGAAUUCCAUGUGUAGCGGUGAAAUGCGUAGAGAUGUGGAGGAAUACCGGUGGCGAAGGCGGCCCCCUGGACAAAGACUGACGCUCAGGUGCGAAAGCGUGGGGAGCAAACAGG
rnacentral:rRNA from 1 species